UGUAUGGUGUAUGGUGUAUGGUGUAUGAGUGUUUCUACGAACUGAUUCAUUAAUAGCAGAAAACACGCAGUUUUUUUUUUUUUUUUCUUCUUUUUUUUGUUACAUAUACAUAUAUGUACUUAUACAUGUAAAUAUUUUUAAUAUAUAACAAUCACAUAUUUGCUUUUAUCAAAAAUUAAACGCAGAUUAAAGAAUUGAAAAAUAAGUUGAGAAUGAAAGAUGAAGUUAUAGAAUAUACCAACAGAGAGAUAGAAAGUAUUAAGGAAUCGUUCUGUAACGAGUACGAAAACAAAAUAAAAAAAUUGAAUGAAGAUAAGGAUAAAGAAAUGCAUAUAAUGAAAAAGAAGUAUAAUGAGCUGCACGAAGAAAUAAUCCUUAACAAAAACGAAGUAUCUAAACUGACUAAAAUGUUAGAAGAUGCAAAUAAAAAAAUAAAAAAAAGAGAUAUGGAGAUGUACAUACUACUCGAGGAAAAUAAAAAACAAAAAGAAAAGGCUGCCAAAAAAAUGACUAAAGUUAAUGAGUUGUUAAGUAAUCUACAAAAGGAAUAUGUUGAUAAUAUUCCAUAA
rnacentral:lncRNA from 1 species